GCGAGUGAAGCGGGAAGAGCUCAAAUUUGUAAUCUGGCGUCCUUCGGGCGUCCGAGUUGUAAUCUAUAGAAGUGUUUUCCGUGCCGGACCAUGUCCAAGUCCCUUGGAACAGGGUAUCAAAGAGGGUGACAAUCCCGUACUUGACAUGACCACCGGUGCUCUGUGAUACACUUUCUACGAGUCGAGUUGUUUGGGAAUGCAGCUCAAAAUGGGUGGUAAAUUCCAUCUAAAGCUAAAUAUUGGCGAGAGACCGAUAGCGAACAAGUACCGUGAGGGAAAGAUGAAAAGCACUUUGGAAAGAGAGUUAAACAGUACGUGAAAUUGUUGAAAGGGAAACGAUUGAAGUCAGUCGUGUUCUUUGGACUCAGCCGGUUCUUCCGGUCUAUUUCCUUUGAACGGGUCAACAUCAGUUUUGUCCGGUGGAUAAAGGCAGGAAGAAAGUGGCUCCCUCGGGAGUGUUAUAGCUUUCUGUCACAUACACUGGAGGAGACUGAGGACUGCAGCUCGCCUUUUGGCCGGGGUUCGCCCACGUUCGAGCUUAGGAUGUUGACAUAAUGGCUUUAAACGACCC
rnacentral:rRNA from 1 species